rnacentral:lncRNA from 1 species
AAAGCCAAGAUACAUCUUUGUAGCAAGCUUUAAGACACUUUGCAACAUCAUUUUGAAUGUUCAACAAGAACAUUCUAUUUUUGGACAUAGGCACCUUAGCGAUUAAAUUAUUUUUAUUAUCUCUUAUGGAAAGACUAUGAUCUUUCAUGUGAAUGUCACAGCCCUUCUCUAAGAGUUGCCCAAAACUCAAUAUAUUAUUUUUCAUGUUGGGCACAUAGUGGACAUUUGAGAUAAAUUGGUGAUUUCCAUUCUUCAAGCGGAUUAGGAUGUUACCAUUGCCUUUCACUGGUAUUUUGGAUUCAUCGCCAAAAGAAACAUUACCACUCACCGAUUCGUCGAGCUCCACGAACAUGUUCCUCUUUCCACACAUAUGGUUGCUCGCCCCGGUGUCAAGGUACCAAGUGUUGUCUUGUCUCCCUUCUUCUUCUUUGUAUGCUAGAAGUAGGGUCAAGCAUGCUCCUCUUUCCACACAUAUGGUUGCUCGCCCCGGUGUCAAGGUACCAAGUGUUGUCUUGUCUCCCUUCUUCUCCUUUGUAUGCUAAAAGUAGGGUCACGUCUUUUUGGCCCUUAUCCUCCAUAAGGUUGGCGGUCUCUUCGACUUUGGUUUGAGACUCUCUACAUUUUGAAGCACAGUGUCCAUAUUUUUGACAAGAAUAACAUUUGAUUUGAGAUUUAUCGUACCUUGCACCUUGGUUGCCUCUCCCACGAUUUGGGUAUUCUCUUCUUUCAUCAUUGUUGUUGAAACCUCCUCGUCCACGUCCAUGGCCUCGACCUCGUCCACGACCACGACCUCUUCCAUAUUGACCUCGUCCAUUUCCGAUAUUUGCUUCCUUAUCUUUUAUUUGCAUCUUGAAUAAUUGCUCCACUAUAUCUUAUUUUUUCUUAUGUUUUUCUUCAUAUGCUUGUGAGGAUCCCAUUAAUUGAUCAAUUGGCAUCUCCUCCAAAUUUUUAGUUUCUUUAAUUGUUAUGACAAUAUGCUCGAAUUUGGAAGUUAAUGACCGGAGUAUCUUCUCAAUAAUUCUAACAUCUUCCAAUUUUUCACCAUUUCUUUUCAUUUGNNNN